UUCGUCUGUCUGAGGGUCGG
rnacentral:rRNA from 1 species